GAACAUUUGAGGCUUAUUAGGAGUAGGGACUUGCAAUGGGGUGUCCCCUCCACACUUGUCCUGAAAGGGUUAAUGUAGGCUAAGACGAGUCAAUUAACCAGACAGGCCACAGCUGAGGGAAAACAGGUGGCUUAAGUACUCCCCUGAGUGAUGGCAGGAGCCUAGCUGAGGAGGAAAGAGCUGGGUUGGGUUUAUAAAGAAGCUGCUAGUAGAGAGAGGACUGUAGCCCCUCCUGGGAAGAUGGGAAAAGCAAAUAAAGUAUUUUAUGAGAAUUUGUGACCAGCAAGAGUUGGUGGCUGCACACUGAGGCUACCAGAAAUGUUGAGAACCCCUGGCUUGGAGGCUGGCAAACCCAGAGAUGGUGAAGAACCUGAAGCCCUGCCCCAAGAUGAAAGGCUGGGAGUUACUGAUGACAUCCAUCCCCUGGGAGACUUCACUCAUUCACGUGAUUUCAAUGACCAUCUCUAUGCCACUGACUCUUGAAUCCACCUCUUCCCGUCUCUUGUACAGCCCAGUUCUGCCCCUCUGUGUGCCUUUCUAUCUUGGGUGGGGGGAAAGGAGGCCUUCCCAUCCACUUAAACUUAACAUGCUCAGCUCAGAAUUGCUGCUCUUCACUGCAGUAAUAUCUAGUACUUGCCACUUAAACAUUGGACAUUACUAUCACUAAGUAACUGAAUUACUAUUACUUUUCCUUAGUAAGUGAAUUACUACCUAAUUACAAGAAAUUACUAAGAGCAAUUCUAAUCCCAUUAUUAAAUACAAAUUACUAACAUUAGUGAAAAUUACUGUUCCUGAGAGAUUGCCAACAACUGACCGACUUUAGUGACAAGACACAUUUUAGUACAGAUAGUGGAUAUUGUAAUAGGUUAGCAAGUAGACACCAUACAACAAAGACUAAUCCUCAACUGCACCAUGCAAGCCAGCCUGUUGUAUCGAAUGCAGCCUGGUUUUGCCAGCUGAUCUUCUCCUUUAAUGUCCUGCCUCACUGACCUACUUCUUCAAUCUCAUGCUGAAGAUGAUCCCAAACAUUUCUGUACUGUGAAAUAUUAAAUGAAGCCUGUUUUAUGGCUAUUGUAUUGUUUACAGCCAAUUCCACAGCUAUAUGGAGUAACUCCCAGGAUUUCUCAUUCAGUGUGAAAUGUCCCUAUAAAUAUUGUUGGCGUCUCCAU